UACGUAGGGGCAAGCGUUAUCCGGAUUUACUGGGUGUAAAGGGAGCGCAGAGGGCUAGUGCAAGUCUGAUGUGAAAGCCCGGGGCUCAACCCCGGAAACUGCAUUGGAAACUGUACAGCUCGAGUGUCGGAGAGGUAAGCGGAAUUCCUAGUGUAGCGGUGAAAUGCGUAGAUAUUAGGAGGAACACCGGUGUCGAAGGCGGCUUACUGGACGAUGACUGACGUUGAGGCUCGAAAGCGUGGGGAGCAAACAGGAUUAGAUACCCGCGUAGUCCCU
rnacentral:rRNA from 1 species